CACAAAUUCAGAAUUGCAGAAGUGCACAAAUUCAAAAGAAAAUGAGCCAAAUUGAAAACAAGGGGAGUAGGUGCAGGUUCUCUAACCAUAGGGUGUGAUUUGUGUGAUGAGUGCUUUUGUUGUAAAACAGUUAUCUUUGUGUUUGAUGUUCUGUCUUCCGAUUUAAAAUAGUAUGACACGUUACCUAUUUAAGCAAGUAUCAGUAUUGUUUGAGAGCAAUGCUUUUUUUUAUUUCUUGCUUCUGUCACAUGGAAUAAAGCCUGAUUUUCAAAUUUUUGGGUGGCCUACAUAGAUAUUCAUCCUUGUAUGUUCUAACAAUCAUAUUCUGCUGACUGAUGUGGAAUGAUAGGA